UCCAGAGUUUUGAUCAUGGCUCAGGAUGAACGCUGGCGGCGUGCUUAACACAUGCAAGUCGAACGAUGAAGCCGAAGCUUGCUUUGGUGGAUUAGUGGCGAACGGGUGAGUAACACGUGAGUAACCUGCCCCUGACUCUGGGAUAAGCCUGGGAAACUGGGUCUAAUACCGGAUAUGACCAUGGAACGCAUGUUCUGUGGUGGAAAGAUUUAUCGGUUGGGGAUGGACUCGCGGCCUAUCAGCUUGUUGGUGAGGUAAUGGCUCACCAAGGCGACGACGGGUAGCCGGCCUGAGAGGGUGACCGGCCACACUGGGACUGAGACACGGCCCAGACUCCUACGGGAGGCAGCAGUGGGGAAUAUUGCACAAUGGGCGAAAGCCUGAUGCAGCGACGCCGCGUGAGGGAUGACGGCCUUCGGGUUGUAAACCUCUUUCAGUAGGGAAGAAGCGAGAGUGACGGUACCUGCAGAAGAAGCGCCGGCUAACUACGUGCCAGCAGCCGCGGUAAUACGUAGGGCGCAAGCGUUAUCCGGAUUUAUUGGGCGUAAAGAGCUCGUAGGCGGUUUGUCGCGUCUGCCGUGAAAGUCCGAGGCUCAACCUCGGAUCUGCGGUGGGUACGGGCAGACUAGAGUGAUGUAGGGGAGACUGGAAUUCCUGGUGUAGCGGUGAAAUGCGCAGAUAUCAGGAGGAACACCGAUGGCGAAGGCAGGUCUCUGGGCAUUUACUGACGCUGAGGAGCGAAAGCAUGGGGAGCGAACAGGAUUAGAUACCCUGGUAGUCCAUGCCGUAAACGUUGGGCACUAGGUGUGGGGGCACAUUCCACGUGUUCCGCGCCGUAGCUAACGCAUAAGUGCCCGCUG
rnacentral:rRNA from 1 species